rnacentral:lncRNA from 1 species
UAUUUUUUUCAAUUUUUUCAAAAUUUUUUAGGGUUUUCGCUUGAUUCAUAAUGUCCUCCAACACUUCCUCCUCUUGCAGUUCUAGGAGUUCGUCCGUUCCAGCCCCCCAAAAUCUUAGUUCUGUAGAUGAACCUCAUCCAAUCUUUGUACCAGACACCAUUCCUAGCACUCUGACUUCGGACGAACUCUCACUGAUCAGGAUUCAGUAUGGGGUUCCUCCGAAGUACGAGUUUGAGCUUCCUGGGCCAAC